UAGGGAAUCUUCCGCAAUGGACGCAAGUCUGACGGAGCAACGCCGCGUGAGUGAAGAAGGAUUUCGGUUCGUAAAACUCUGUUGUUAGAGAAGAACAGCGCAUAGAGUAACUGUUAUGCGUGUGACGGUAUCUAACCAGAAAGCCACGGCUAACUACGUGCCAGCAGCCGCGGUAAUACGUAGGUGGCAAGCGUGGUCCGGAUUUAUUGGGCGUAAAGCGAGCGCAGGCGGUCAAUUAAGUCUGAUGUGAAAGCCCCCGGCUCAACCGGGGAGGGUCAAUGGAAACUGGUUGACUGGAGUGCAGAAGAGGAGAGUGGAAUUCCAUGUGUAGCGGUGAAGUGCGUAGAUAUAUGGAGGAACACCAGUGGCGAAGGCGACGCGCUGGUCUGUAACUGACGCUGAGGCUCGAAAGCGUGGGUAGCAAACAGG
rnacentral:rRNA from 1 species